rnacentral:rRNA from 1 species
GUAGGUGGCAAGCGUUGUCCGGAAUUAUUGGGCGUAAAGCGCGCGCAGGUGGUUCUUUAAGUCUGAUGUGAAAGCCCCCGGCUCAACCGGGGAGGGUCAUUGGAAACUGGGGAACUUGAGUGCAGGAGAGGAAAGUGGAAUUCCACGUGUAGCGGUGAAAUGCGUAGAUAUGUGGAGGAACACCAGUGGCGAAGGCGACUUUCUGGCCUGUAACUGACACUGAGGCGCGAAAGCGUGGGGAGCAAACAGGAUUAGAUACCCUGGCAGUCCACGCCGUAAACGAUGAGUGCUAAGUGUUGGGGGGGUUUCCCGCCCCUCAGUGCUGCAGCUAACGCAUUAAGCACUCCGCCUGGGGAGUACGGUCGCAAGACUG